CUCAUGGCGUCCGGUGAAAAUAAUGCAAAAGCGAUUAUAUUUUAUGACAGUGAAGGCGCAAACGAAAAGUCUAAAAAAGAGGCAGAAACAUUGAGGUUCUUUAUUGAAAAGAAUAGUGGAUACAAAUGUCAAACCGACGAUGAAAUAAGGAUUGGCGGACCCGAAACUACCGAAACUCCUCUUAAAACCAUUAACAAUUCAAUAAAUACGAAUGACAGAAUCAUUAUUCUUAUAACAGACCAAUCUGCUUCAAAAGGAUGGUUCACAUUUGAAGUUUUGUCUGCAUUAGAAAAUAUUAUUGUCGAAAAUCGAAUGCGACUUUUGGUCGCAUACAAAGGGAAUCGACGUGAAGAUGUUGGGUUUCUGAAAACUGGAUUGCUGUCGUUGACGCCCAAGACGUUUGUCGACCUCAAUAAAUGGCAGAGAUAUGAAAGGCUUCUCAAACAACUAAAAACUCCAGUGUGUUUGGACGAAGAAUUACCAGCGGGAAACUUGCAUCUUGGCUUGGUUCAUUCCCACUUAUCCGGCUACAUGUGUUAUGUUGCUGAAGAGUUUGCAAAGAACAAGAAUUGGUCGGAGAAAUGCGAUGAUUACAGAAAACAAUAUAAACUAAUGAUUGAAAAAUUUCUGCUGGUUGUACCAAAAACAUACACUGUCCCACAGCAACUUCCAUCCGAUUCCAUCAGAUUCAACAGCAGACAUUGUCAUUUCGGAUGUGGAUGCAUUUAAGUUUGAGAGAAUACACGCGGGUAACAGCAGAGGAUAUGUCGUUACAAUCAACAAGAUAAAGCACGCGAACAACGAGGUGUACGUUUGUGCCCAGGUACCAACAGUGCUGACUGCCAUAUCUCAUCUUUCAAAGCAGCAUCUUGGCAGAAUUAAUGUUGCUCUUGAGCAUCAGAGAUUCUGCCAAGCAUAUAAGCAGAUAAUCGAUGCGAAUGGAUGGGCUGACUUCUUGGAAAUAAUCCAAUGUGAAGAUGAAAACUAUAUUCCUGUCGCGUUAUGUAAGGCUGCUACGGCAAACGCUGACAAAACAGCUGUGAAAGGAACUGCUCAAAUUAGAGCUGGAGUUAUUUCCGAUAUUAAAAAGGAGAGUGUUUUCAUAUCCUGUUUUGAUAUUGAUAACGAUUCUCGUGACGAGAUUGCACGAGAGCUAGAUAAACAUAUUAUUCGACAUGAACGCGCAACAGGGAAUUCCAGCAGGCUCUUAGAAGUUGACAGUCGAACAGGCUGGAUAAUAGUUAUUGUCUCGAAGGAAUCACUGAAAGCCGGUGUGUUUUCAUUUAAUCUCAUGAAAUGCCUGACUGCUGAUGUUGAUGAAGGCAAACUGAGAGUUCUGCUUGUAUUGCGCAGCGGUGUGAAUAUCUCAGAUGUGCCAAGGUUUGUUCGAUGGGUUACAUGCUUCAGCGAAGAUGAAAAAUCAUACAAAAACUGGAUUGUAAGAACAGUUUCAGGAGCACCUGUAGAUAUUGGGAGGACACUUCCAGCAGGGGAUGUAAUCCCAGGCUUAUGUUGGACCUAUGUCUUGAACCACCUGAAGAUUAUGCUUACGACCAGCAGUAUUUAUAAAACAAUUCAAGAGUAUCUAACGAACAAAGACCUAAACUGCGGGUGCAUCCGUCAACUAAGAGUGGUGUGGGUCAAGUCGUGGAGAACACCCUAGACGUGGUUGCAAACAAAAG